rnacentral:rRNA from 1 species
ACGGGAGGCAGCAGUAGGGAAUCUUCGGCAAUGGGGGGAACCCUGACCGAGCAACGCCGCGUGAGUGAAGAAGGUUUUCGGAUCGUAAAGCUCUGUUGUCAGAGAAGAACGGGUGUGAGAGUGGAAAGUUCACACAGUGACGGUACCUGACGAGAAAGGGACGGCUAACUACGUGCCAGCAGCCGCGGUAAUACGUAGGUCCCGAGCGUUGUCCGGAUUUAUUGGGCGUAAAGCGAGCGCAGGCGGCUCUGUAAGUCUGAAGUAAAAGGCAGUGGCUUAACCAUUGUGUGCUUUGGAAACUGCGGGGCUUGAGUGCAGAAGGGGAGAGUGGAAUUCCAUGUGUAGCGGUGAAAUGCGUAGAUAUAUGGAGGAACACCGGUGGCGAAAGCGGCUCUCUGGUCUGAGACUGACGCUGAGGCUCGAAAGCGUGGGUAGCGAACAGGAUUAGAUACCCUGGUA